AACAUGAUGUAACCAAAGGUACCGAUUCCCAGCCCGAACAACGGAAUAGAAUUAUACCUAGAGUGGCAGAUUUACCACCGUACUGUCGCAGAAUAUACGACGAAUAUAAAAAAUCUAAGAAGCAGUUGGACUUCAUGAAAAGAGCCAGGAGGGCUGUGAAAUUUUCAAAAACACAAUGUUUUGAAAAAUUAGCUGCCAAUUUAAAUCCUUUGGCAAAAAAAAUUAUAUGGAUGCAAAUAACGCAAAGUAAUAAGAAACGAAAAGGCAGGCGUUUUACAGACGAAGAAAAAAUGAUUUCGCUGGCAAUCAUGAAACAAAGUCCAAAAGCUUAUAGAUUUCUGCAACAAAUAUUUAUUUUGCCCUCAAGAAAUACCUUGAACAAACUGACAUCAACUCUGAAUGUGCAGCCGGGGAUCAAUGUACAAAUUUUUGAUGCAAUUAAGGAUCAGGUAAAAAACUGGACCGAAAACAAAAAAUACUGUUCCAUUAUUUUUGACGAAGUUAAACUUGAACCUGGAUUGGACUAUCAAAAAGGAAUGGACCACAUCAAUGGAUUUGUCCACCUCAAUAAAAAAACGAACAAUUUCGCAGAUCAUGCUUUAGCCUUUAUGGUGAGAGGUGGCAUACAUAAGUGGCAACAGCCUGUAGCCUACUAUUUUUGUGAAGGAGCGACCAAAAAUGAAGAGUUACGGGUGAUAUUGAAAACGUUGAUAAGUGCCGUGAUAGACACGGGCCUGAUACCCGUUGCAGUUAUCUGCGAUCAGGGCCAAUCAUUCCAAUCAGCCUUGAAGGGCCUUAUGGAAGAAACACGUAGCGACCAGAUUAAAGCUGGAAAUCCGACUGAUGAUGUCAUAACACUCAAAGGGCACGAUAUAAAUGUUAUUUAUGAUCCACCUCACCUAAUAAAGGGAAUUAGAAAUAACUUCUUAACAAAAAAUAUGAAAUUUGAAGGAAGCGUGUGCAAGUGGAGCGACAUCGUCGACGUAUACCAGACGGACUGUGAGCACACCGAGACCCGGCUGCUACAUAAACUUAAUGACACACAUGUCAUUCCCGAAAAAAUUAAUAAA